GUGGCUAUAGCUCAGUCGGUUAGAGCGCUGGAUUGUGGUUCCAGAGGUCAUGGGUUCGAACCCCAUUAGCCACC
rnacentral:tRNA from 1 species